CGGUGAAUACGUUCCCGGACCUUGCACACACCGCCCGUCAAGCCAUAGAAGCCGGGUGUACCUAAAGUCGAUAACCGCUAAGGAGUCGCCUAGGGUAAAACUGGUAACUGGGGCU
rnacentral:rRNA from 1 species